rnacentral:misc_RNA from 1 species
GAUGAAGAACGCAGCGAAAUGCGAUAAGUAAUGUGAAUUGCAGAAUUCAGUGAAUCAUCGAAUCUUUGAACGCACAUUGCGCCCGCCAGUAUUCUGGCGGGCAUGCCUGUCUGAGCGUCAUUUCAACCCUCAUGCCCCUAGGGCGUGGUGUUGAGGAUCGGCCAAAGCCCGCGAGGGACGGCCGGCCCCUAAAUCUAGUGGCGGACCCGUCGUGGCCUCCUCUGCGAAGUAGUGAUAUUCCGCAUCGGAGAGCGAUGAGCCCCUGCCGUUAAACCCCCAACUUUCCAAGGUUGACCUCAGAUCAGGUAGGAAUACCCGCUGAACUUAAGCAUAUCAAUAAGCGGAGGA